GGCGUACUUUGGGACUUAUGUUACGGCCAUAAGGUUAGGGGCUUAAAGCGUCGUACGCUU
rnacentral:tRNA from 1 species